GGGUUUGUGGUCCAGUGGCUAAGACGUUCCAUUUGCAACCUCGUCGCUCUUGGAAAGGUCCUGGGUUCAAUUCCCAGCUGAUCCA
rfam:Cryptococcus depauperatus CBS 7841 supercont1.7, whole genome shotgun sequence.